GAAACUUCUCACCUAUGAAUUUGUAAAGCAAAAAUACUUGGACUACAGACGAGUGCCCAACAGCAACCCCCCGGAGUAUGAGUUCCUCUGGGGCCUCCGUUCCUACCAUGAGACUAGCAAGAUGAAAGUGCUGAGAUUCAUUGCAGAGGUUCAGAAAAGAGACCCUCGUGACUGGACUGCACAGUUCAUGGAGGCUGCAGAUGAGGCCUUGGAUGCUCUGGAUGCUGCUGCAGCUGAGGCCGAAGCCCGGGCUGAAGCAAGAACCCGCAUGGGAAUUGGAGAUGAGGCUGUGUCUGGGCCCUGGAGCUGGGAUGACAUUGAGUUUGAGCUGCUGACCUGGGAUGAGGAAGGAGAUUUUGGAGAUCCCUGGUCCAGAAUUCCAUUUACCUUCUGGGCCAGAUACCACCAGAAUGCCCGCUCCAGAUUCCCUCAGACCUUUGCCGGUCCCAUUAUUGGUCCUGGUGGUACAGCCAGUGCCAACUUCGCUGCCAACUUUGGUGCCAUUGGUUUCUUCUGGGUUGAGUGAGAUGUUGGGUAGGUAUAUCACUUUGGAUUGGGCAGUUAGGAUCUCUGGGGGAUAUAGGGUCCAUGGGGUUGUAUUUAUGUGCAUGAGCUAGGAGUAUUAGGAAACUCAUUGUAGGGAGAUGAGGAAAGUAUGGGGCAGCACUCUUUGGUAUGUAUAUUCCUUAUUAUUUGAUAUAUAUCAUUGAUUUUUUUACUUCUUCUUUCUUAUAUUCACAGAUAUUGCUAUCAAUCGCAGUAGUCUUUCCCCUGUGUGAGGCUGAAGCCUCAGAUUCCUUCUAAACACAGCUAUCUAGAGAGCCACAUCCUGUUGACUGAAAGUGGCAUGCAAGAUAAAUUUAUUUGCUGUUCCUUGUCUACUGCUUUUUUUCCCCUUGUGUGCUGUCAAGUUUUGGUAUCAGAAAUAAACAUUGAAAUUGCAAAGUGAA
rnacentral:sRNA from 1 species